GCUAUAAAAGAGAGCAGUAAAGCCAAUAAAGCAGCUCGGAUGCUGGGAGCUCCCCCGACUCUGUCUCUUUGUCUUUCUUUUUCUUCAUCCUCACUUCCCCAUUCAGGUGUUGUUCGAGAAGUGACUGGCGGGCUCUGUCAUGGGUGGUGCCCGAACAGGGACCUGAAUACGGGGGAUCAGAAGUGAAGAACGCUGCGGUUUUGUGGGCCCGCAGGAGGAUGCUGAAGGUGCCAGGUGGCUGCCUGAAAGAUUGGUCCGUUUUGCAGAAAAUUCUCCUGCCCCUCAGGAGGAUCCCGACAACUGUCCCGCUGAUAAAUCCAAUGAUGACGCUUAAUGGGAAAGUUUAUUGGACUUAUGUACCUGAUCCACCUGUUGUACAUCCAACAAGCUGAAAAAAUGGAGAUGAGCCGGCGGCACCUGACAAAAACGAGGUCUGAUUGUUCAACUAUACAGGAUAGUGCCUCAAGCUUUUAAUGCUCCAAUAAGACUGUUCCAUGGAAGAGAUGUGUGGCGGAUGCACCUGUGAGAUAUAAUAUUACUGGAUUUGAUGUGUUUUGGACUGGUCUGAAAAUUCUUGUCAUCCCCCGGGAAAAAAAAAAAUGUCACUGCAUAUGUCAUGCGUUCUUAGGUAUUGCUUGUAGGAAAUAUUAAUGUUUAGAAAGAUUAUGAUUAUUAUAAUGUAAUUUACUUCAAUUGUCAAAUAAGCAAUUGUGUCACCUGAACAGAAAAUCAGAUAACGGUUUUGUGAAUGUGUUCUUAGAUUUGGAUAUUAAAAUGCAAAACUCCUAAAAUUUGAUGCAGCCCAGGUUGCACAGGAUUUUAUCGAACAAAUUAGAAAAGUUCUGCCAUCUACAUCUGCAUUUAGGUGGUAAUUCCUUUCCAUAGUAAUCAUUGGAGGAGGGUUACUUCUUGGAUGCAUGAUCCUUCCGGUGCUACUGCGGGUGUUUGUGCAUUCUUUAAUGAGGAUGGCUGGAAGUAUCCAUGGUCUACAAUUACAUGCUGUGCCGCCUAGGCCCAUGGUGUAAUCCCCUGCAGAGGCUGGUGGUCAAUGACGGGUAAGAGGAGUACAGGAAAUCACCAACCUAAGACAGAGCAAGAGUACUGUGACACUCUUGACUCCAUGACGGGUAAGGGAUUUCUUUGUGUUCCCCGCCUAAGACAGGCACAGUCUAUCUGCGUGAUCAAGGGACCUUGAUCAUAAUAUAUAAAACAGGGGGAGAUGUGGAGAGCCAACAGCUCUAUAAGCAUUAAGGUGGACAACUUGGAUUUCCUAUGAAAGGGUUAAGUGAAACAUUGUAGAACUUGCUGCCCAGCUCUAAAGAAGUUAGGUGUAGGAGAAAGUGAUAAGAACAGCACAAGGACACGGAGCUAGGAAAAAGAAAACACAGGACUGUCUCAAGGCCUGGGAACUUUUCAGAUGUGCCUUAUGUAAGAUGUUUUUUAUUCUUGAGUGCUAUAAAAGAGAGCAGUAAAGCCAAUAAAGCAGCUCGGAUGCUGGGAGCUCCCCCGACUCUGUCUCUUUGUCUUUCUUUUUCUUCAUCCUCACU
rnacentral:lncRNA from 1 species